rnacentral:lncRNA from 1 species
CCGCCCAUGCUUCAUCCAUCACCACCCCCACUUCACCCCACUGAUUAUCUGCUGCUCCCCGUAGCUGAUUGGGCUGCUGAAGACGGCGCGGCUGCUGCGGCUGGUACGUGUGGCCCGGAAGCUGGACCGAUACUCGGAGUAUGGGGCGGCCGUGCUCUUUCUGCUCAUGUGCACCUUCGCACUCAUCGCGCACUGGCUGGCCUGCAUCUGGUACGCCAUAGGCAACAUGGAACAGCCGCAUAUGGACUCCCGCAUCGGCUGGCUGCACAACCUGGGCGAUCAGAUCGGCAAGCCCUACAACAGCAGCGGCCUGGGCGGCCCCUCCAUCAAAGACAAGUAUGUCACCGCCCUCUACUUCACCUUCAGCAGCCUCACCAGCGUGGGCUUCGGCAACGUGUCCCCCAACACCAACUCAGAGAAGAUCUUUUCCAUCUGUGUCAUGCUCAUUGGCUCCCUCAUGUAUGCCAGUAUCUUCGGCAACGUGUCGGCCAUCAUCCAGCGGCUAUACUCGGGCACGGCGCGCUACCACACACAGAUGCUCCGCGUUCGGGAGUUCAUCCGCUUCCACCAGAUCCCCAACCCGCUGCGCCAGCGCCUUGAGGAGUACUUCCAGCAUGCCUGGUCCUACACCAACGGCAUCGACAUGAAUGCGGUGCUGAAGGGCUUCCCCGAGUGCCUGCAGGCCGACAUCUGCCUGCACCUGCACCGUGCGCUGCUGCAGCACUGCCCCGCCUUCCACGGCGCCAGCAAGGGCUG